rnacentral:rRNA from 2 species
UUAAUUGAAGAGUUUGAUCAUGGCUCAGAUUGAACGCUGGCGGCAGGCCUAACACAUGCAAGUCGAGCGGCAGCACAGAGGAACUUGUUCCUUGGGUGGCGAGCGGCGGACGGGUGAGU